GGGAAUGGUUGAGAUCAGAAGGCCUUACUCCACCGCAAUCCGAAAAGUGGAGAGAAGAAAGUUGAGCAAGUGGGACGAUGAAGAUCUCGGCAUGAAGAAGAAGAGUUAAUUUGCUGGAAAGCACUUUUUGUAAUUUUUGAACAAUUUUUUUUAUUUUGUUUUAUGCUUUUGUUGAACAUGUAAAUUUUGAAUUUUUGGAACAAUUUU
rnacentral:lncRNA from 1 species